AAAUUGAAGAGUUUGAUCAUGGCUCAGAUUGAACGCUGGCGGCAGGCCUAACACAUGCAAGUCGGACGGUAGCACAGAGGAGCUUGCUCCUUGGGUGACGAGUGGCGGACGGGUGAGUAAUGUCUGGGGAUCUGCCCGAUAGAGGGGGAUAACCACUGGAAACGGUGGCUAAUACCGCAUAACGUCGCAAGACCAAAGAGGGGGACCUUCGGGCCUCUCACUAUCGGAUGAACCCAGAUGGGAUUAGCUAGUAGGCGGGGUAAUGGCCCACCUAGGCGACGAUCCCUAGCUGGUCUGAGAGGAUGACCAGCCACACUGGAACUGAG
rnacentral:ncRNA from 1 species